UUUGUGUCUCGGGUAUGUUACAUAAUAUUUUGUACCUUCUUUUUUUUGUACUUAUUUCUUCAUAAAUCCAUACCACACCAUUAUUAUUUGUUCUAUACAUAUUGCCUGUUAGUUUUUCCGUACCUAUUUUAUUUUCUUGGUACAAUUUUAUUUUCUAAAUCUAUAUCACCACAUUGCUUUUUGUACUAUUUUCUAUCACAACAUUUAAACAUUUUGUUCUUUGGUAUGCCUUUUUCAUAUUCGUCAGAUUCUACUACUUCUCCUAUUGUUAACAAAAAAGCUGGAGGUAUAUUUAUUUUCGGCUCUUUCUGAAUUGUUCAUGGUUUUUUGUUUUUAUUAUUAUUAUGGUCUUUCGUCUUAGAUAUGUUUUUUUCUGUUUUUUAGUAGGUGGCUAAUAUUACCCUGAAUCCCCGAGUUGCAAGUUGUAUGAAGAUCCCAAGUUUUAGAAGGAUUUGGAAUUUCUGACAGAUGAGGAGCUUGAUAACUUUUAUAAUGAAUAUCUGAUUGAAGCCCUCUUCCAUAUGAGGCAACAUAAAUCCACUAAGCGUACGUGUCUUAGUGAUGGUGUUGUAAGGAAACGUUAUAAGCUGAUUUGUUGUCGGAAAGAAUGAUAAAAGCUUGGAAGCAUGUUAAAUCCAUCAACUGCUGGUAUUGUAAAUUGCACUCGAAAAGAGAAGAUUGUCCGUAGUUUAGAGCUAGGUGCCCAGCCUAUCUGAAGUUCAAGUGGUUUGACGCAAUUCAGGCGUAUAAAAUUGAAGAGUGGCAUAUUGGUCAUAACCAUCCAUUUGUAUUAGAGGAGC
rnacentral:lncRNA from 1 species